GCCUCAAGGGUUACAAGAUGUGAGACGGCUCCCUGAAGGAAUUUGCAAUCCAGUAAGAAGGCCAGGUUGAGUUUGGUUUCUGAAGAUACAUUUGGAAGAAGCCUAACCACUCCACAACAACAACCAAAAAAAGAAGCAGCCCGGUUAAGAAAUGGGCAAAGGACUAGAACAGACAUCGUUCCAAAAAGAUAUACAAAUGGCCAAUAAGCACAGAAGAUGCUUAACAUCACUAGUCGCUAGGGAAAGGCAAGCCAGAGCUACAGUGAGAUAUUUCUUCACACCCACGAGGAUGGCUCUGAUCAAAACACAAACAAACGGAAAACAGGUUAUUUGGGGAAUAAUGAUGUAAUGUUGAUGAGACCGUGGAGAAAUUGGAACAUUUGUGCCUUGCUGGUAGGAAUAUAAAAUGGUGCAGCUGCUGUGGAAAAGGGUAUGAUGAGUCCUCAAAAAAAGAAAAACAAUUACCAUGUGAUCCCAUAGUUCUGUUUCUGGAUAUGCAGCCAAAAGAAAUGAAAGCAGGGCCCCCAGUAGAUAUGUGCACACCCAUGUUCAUAGCAGCAUUAUUCACAACAGCCAAAAUGUGGGAUGUGCUCAAAACAAGUCAGGUAAAUAAGUGAAGUGAUACAUAAAUGAAUGAACGCGC